AAAUUGAAGAGUUUGAUCAUGGCUCAGAUUGAACGCUGGCGGCAGGCCUAACACAUGCAAGUCGAACGGUAACAGAAAGCAGCUUGCUGCUUUGCUGACGAGUGGCGGACGGGUGAGUAAUGUCUGGGAAACUGCCUGAUGGAGGGGGAUAACUACUGGAAACGGUAGCUAAUACCGCAUAACGUCGCAAGACCAAAGAGGGGGACCUUCGGGCCUCUUG
rnacentral:rRNA from 1 species